rfam:Candidatus Lloydbacteria bacterium RIFOXYC12_FTLL_46_25 rifoxyc3_full_scaffold_13954, whole genome shotgun sequence.
UUCUGUAAGAGUUUGAUCCUAGCUCAGGAUGAACGCUGGCGGCGUGGAUAAGGCAUGCAAGUCGAGGGGGCGCAUCACUUUUAUUUUGAGGAUUCCAAGGUCCGACCUUUGGAAUUUUAAGGUCGGACCUUGAUCGAAGUAAAAGUGAUGCGUCACCGGCAGACGAGGUAGUAACACGUAGGAACGAACCAUGAAGUCAGGGACAACCCGUCGAAAGACGGGCUAAUACUUGAUAGUCUCGCGAGAGUAAAGAUUUAUCGCUUCAUGAUCGGCCUGCGACGUAUCAGCUAGUUGGUAAGGUAAUUGCUUACCAAGGCUAUGACGCGUAGGGGAGGUGAGAGCCUGGCCCCCACCGAUGGGACUGCGACACGGCCCAUACACCUACGGGUGGCUGCAGUCGAGAAUCUUCCACAAUGGACGAAAGUCUGAUGGAGCGACGCCGCGUGACUGAUGAAGCAUUUCGGUGUGUAAAGGUCUUUUAUGAGGGAUGACAUAGCGACAGUACCUCAUGAAUAAGGGGCUGCUAAUCACGUGCCAGCAGCAGCGGUAAUACGUGAGCCCCGAGCGUUAUCCGGAAUUACUGGGCGUAAAGUGUGCGUAGGCGGUUAUGUUAGUCUUCUGUUAAAUCCACCGGCUCAACCGGUGAACCCCAGAGGAAACGGCAUAACUCGAGUGUGUAAGAGGUUUGCGGAACUUAUGGUGUAGGGGUGAAAUCCGUUGAUAUCAUAGGGAACACCAAAUGCGAAGGCAGCAAACUGGUACAUUACUGACGCUGAGGCACGAAAGCGUGGGUAGCGAAUGGGAUUAGAUACCCCAGUAGUCCACGCCCUAAACGAUGAUCUCUCGCCUUUCGGAGUAUCGACCCUCUGAGAGGCUAAGCUAACGCGUUAAGAGAUCCGCCUGGGUAGUACGAUCGCAAGAUUAAAACUCAAAGGAAUAGACGGGGACUUGCACAAGCGGUGGAUUAUGUGGUUUAAUUCGAUGGUACACGAAAAACCUUACCAGGGUUAGAUAUUCUAGGGAAAGACUAAGGAAACUUAGUAACUCCGCAAGGACCGUAGAACAGGUGAUGCAUGGCCGUCGUCAGUUCGUGGUUUGAACUGUUCCCUUAAGUGGGGUAACGAACGCAACCCCUGUCGUCUGUUACAAGUGUCAGGCGAGACUGCCCAGCCCUAAGCGCACAAUCACGUUGAUUGUGAUUGCGAAUUUGGGGCUGGGAGGAAGGUGGGGAUGACGCCAGGUCAGCAUGUCCCUUGAUGCCCUGGGCUACACACAUAAUACAAUGGGCGUUACAACGGGCAGCGACACAGUAAUGUUGAGCUAAUCCUAAAAAAGCGCCCUCAGUUCGGAUUGAGGUCUGCAACUCGACCUCAUGAAGCUGGAAUCGCUAGUAAUCGCGGGUCAGCCAUACCGCGGUGAAUACGUUCUCAAGUCUUGUACUCACCGCCCGUCAACUCAAGGGAGCCGGGAGUGCCCGAAGUCUCACCUCGCGUGGGCCGAAGGUAAGCUCGGUGACAGGGAGUAAGUCGUAACAAGGCACGGGUAGCGGAAGCUGCUCGUGGAUCAAUUCCAAA